AACGAACGCUGGCGGCAUGCCUAACACAUGCAAGUCGAACGAUGCUUUCGGGCAUAGUGGCGCACGGGUGCGUAACGCGUGGGAAUCUGCCCUUGGGUUCGGAAUAACAGUGAGAAAUUGCUGCUAAUACCGGAUGAUGUCUUCGGACCAAAGAUUUAUCGCCCAGGGAUGAGCCCGCGUAGGAUUAGCUAGUUGGUGGGGUAAUGGCCUACCAAGGCGACGAUCCUUAGCUGGUCUGAGAGGAUGAUCAGCCACACUGGGACUGAGACACGGCCCAGACUCCUACGGACGACAGCAGUGGGGAAUAUUGGACAAUGGACGCAAACCUAAUCCAGCAAUGCCGCGUGAGUGAUGAAGGCCUUAGGGUUGUAAAGCACUUUUACCCGGGAUGAUAAUGACAUUACCGGGAGAAUAAGCUCCGGCUAACUCCGUG
rnacentral:rRNA from 1 species